rnacentral:rRNA from 1 species
CCCUUAGAUGUUCUGGGCCGCACGCGCGCUACACUGAUUCAUGCAACAAGUUUUGUCCUUGGCUGAUAGGCCUGGGUAAUCUUUGAACGUGAAUCGUGAUGGGGAUAGAUGAUUGCAAUUAUUCAUCUUCAACGAGGAAUUCCUAGUAAACGCAAGUCAUCAGCUUGCAUUGAUUACGUCCCUGCCCUUUGUACACACCACCCGUCGCACCUACCGAUUGAAUGGUCCGGUGAAAUCUUCGGAUCUGAGAGAUGUCUGAUUAAUUUCGGACGCCUUUUGGAAAAGUUGCUUAAACCUUACCAUUUAGAGGAAGGUGAAGUCGUAACA